AAGUUAUUCAUAUAUAAUACGACGUGCUUCAUUUCACAGAUGAUAUAAAAAUAAAAUGGAUAGGUGACAAAUUCAGAUUUAUAUUUUAUGUAAUCUGUCAAUUUUUUUCGUUAAACAAAGUUGAAGUCCAAUUUAAUCGGUAUAGCAUUUGAUGAAAUUUCCGAUUUGAAAGAUUUUUUUUAGAAACGCUUGACUUCUCGUUCGAAAACUGUUUAAUGAGGGAUGAUUUAACUAUUUUUUAGGAAUUGAGACUCUAACAAAACUAGUGAAAUGAUAAGAAAUUAAGUUGAUGACACCUUUAAUCAUGAGGGAUCAAUUUUGAAACUAUUCGAUGUUCUUAACUUUUGAAUUCAACAACAUUUUUUCUACUUAGACUUGAGAGAGAGGGAAAAGGGAGAAGUUUGGGUGGGACAAAGAGAGAGGGAGACAGAAAAAGAGAAUAUUUAUCAAAAUGCUAUUAGAGAUAUUAUUUUACGUCGUGUAGCCCUAACGAAAAACGAAAAACAAGAACAUUAUUAAACAAACGUA
rnacentral:lncRNA from 1 species